rnacentral:lncRNA from 1 species
AAUGGGAUAGCUAGACGGAAAAUGUGUUAUAAGACUGGGGAAGGAUUGGCUAUUUUUGGCUAAAUCCUUCUGGUCACAAAAUUAUUGAAUAAUAUUUCUCAAUAAUCAAAACAAGGGGGACUGUCUCUCACUCUCUCUUUCUGUUCUUCCCUCCCUGACUCAACUCCUCAUCUCGCUCUUCCUUUCUAUCCUUUUCAACCACUGCCCUAGCGAAGUACCAAAUAGUGUAAAUAAUAAAGAUCUUAGACUUUGGGGGUACUCUGUAAGUCUAAUUCAUUUUCCCUCUCUAUUAAUUAAAUUUUCGAUUGAUCGUGUGUCUGUGAUCCUUUCUUGUAGUAAGUGAAUGAGUGGAAAACAACUUUCUUGAUCAUAUGUAUCAUCAUCUAAAGGUAAGAUAUUUCUUCUUGACAGCCGCUGCACAGUGCCUUGAAAAAGUAGUAAAUAAAUGGAGAAAAAAAAUGAUAUUUAAGUGAACAUGAUAGUUCAAUUCAUCUAACGAAGUUGUUUUUCGAAUGUAAAAAACUCACUUUCGGGGUCAAUUAUUGGUUUGAACGACUCUGACCGGAAUGGUAUUUGCUGAAUAGCUAGAUUUGGGUCAACUUGUAUUUUUAAAAAGUCUAAUUAUUGGUUUUAAGGGUCAACUUUUUUUUGAAAUAGUAUAAAAAAUACUUUUGGUCACUUUUGUUAGCCUAUUACCAGGUCAAUUUUAGUAUAUGUCAAAUUCUUCAAAGAAUACUAAUGUUCCCAGACUCAAUUUUAAGAAAAAUCAUUCCAGCUGGUUUUUGUGUUGACAGGAUUAUGAUCAUCAAUUUGUUAGAUCUUUCACCCAAUAGGGUUUCAAAGAUACGCCAUGAGCAUAAAUUGCAUAAAUGUAUAGGCCUCACCAGUGGGACCUGAGGCAAAGAUAAAGAUGCUGGACCAUUUCAAUUAUUUCCUCUUUUAAAAUUUGAUUUUUUUAAUACGUCAUUUCACUUUCAUGGAAAAUUAAAAAUUGCAGAAUCUUUCUUUAAUCAUUCAAAUGGCCUUUUCUGCAAGAGAUCCAUCCUUGAAAAUUGUAUAAACUUUUUCAAAAAAAUAAAUAUAUAUAUGAGUGUU